ensembl:lncRNA
AGGCCAUGGAUGUCAUAAUCUGGGUCAGUAUCCAGUGUUUUUCCGUCCUGGUUUUGCUUCUCUGCAUCUGGUUGCACACCUACACCUCUCCACCUGUCUUCCAUCUACAGUAAGCAGCAGGAUUGUACUUAAGACCAGCGUUGCCAUCGGUUCUUCACCAGUUCGUCAGCUACCUCGUGAUGCAGCCUCUUCAAUUCACGACUCUACUCACCCGCAACUCCGUUCUCUGGAUGCUAUUCUCCUCGGUAAAAUCCUCAGCUUCCUUCUGCAACUCUGUUCCCUGGACUUAUAACUGCUUACUGCACCUGCCUGCCUGCCUGUCUCCUGCCCGCUGACUUCUCUGGACUGCUAGAACACAAGAUCAGAACCCCACUCACUCCUCACUCAGCAACACAAGCCUUACCCCUCCACCUGCAAAGAUUCCCCCUGCAAAAACUUUUUCGAACUUUCCACAAUGGAGCUUUUGCAGUUUGUGUUGUGCUGUUGUCUCGUGUUGUGGAAUUUUUACGUUUUUCUAAUGUGUUUGCUGUUCUGCAGGACAUAAAAGUUAAUCUAGGAUAAACUCAUCUUAACGGAGCCAGGCCACUGAAAUAUUAUUAAGUGGAAUAAAUAAACCUUCUCCCUGUAUCCUGUGCCUUACAUGCUUUACUG